GUGCUCGCUUCGGCAGCACAUAUACUAAAAUUGGAAUGAUACAGGGAAGAUUAACAUGGCUCCUGAGCAAGCAUGACACGCAAAUUCGUGAAGAACAUACUACUGCU